GGAGGGGUCGCCUAGUGGCCUAUGGCAGAGGUUUGCUAAACCUCCGAGGGUGUAAAAGCUCUCUCGUGGGUUCGAAUCCCACCCCCUCCGCCA
rnacentral:tRNA from 1 species